AGUGAACGCUGGCGGCAUGCCUAACACAUGCAAGUCGAACGGCAGUACGGUAAGUGCUUGUUUUUACGGGUGGCGACUGGCGGAUGGGUGAGGAAUACAUCGCCAUCUACUUUUUCGUGGGGGAUAACGUCGGGAAAUUUACGCUAAUACCGCAUAUGACCUACGGGUGAAAGCAGGGGAACUUCGGACCUUGGGCGAUUGACUGAGCCGAUGUCGGCUUAGCUAGUUGGCGGGGUAACGGCCUACCAAGGCGACGAUCCGUAGCUGGUCUGAGAGGAUGAUCGGCCACCCUGGAACUGAGACACGGUCCAGACUCCUACGGGAGGCAGCAGUGGGGAAUAUUAGGCAAUGGGCGCAAGCCUGAUACAGCCAUACCGCGUGAGUGAAGAAGGCCUUCGGGUUGUAAAGCCCUCUUGUUGGGAAAGAACAGCUGCGGGUUAAUACCCCGCUAUUGUGACGGUACCUAAAGAAAAAGCACCGGCUAACUACGUG
rnacentral:rRNA from 1 species